rnacentral:rRNA from 1 species
AGGGAAUCUUCCGCAAUGGACGAAAGUCUGACGGAGCAACGCCGCGUGAGUGAUGAAGGUUUUCGGAUCGUAAAGCUCUGUUGCCAGGGAAGAACGUCCGUUAGAGUAACUGCUAACGGAGUGACGGUACCUGAGAAGAAAGCCCCGGCUAACUACGUGCCAGCAGCCGCGGUAAUACGUAGGGGGCGAGCGUUGUCCGGAAUUAUUGGGCGUAAAGCGCGCGCAGGGGGCUGUUAAGUCUGGUGUUGAGUCCUGGGGCUCAACCCCGGGUCGCACUGGAAACUGGACAGCUUGAGUGCAGAAGAGGAGAGUGGAAUUCCACGUGUAGCGGUGAAAUGCGUAGAGAUGUGGAGGAACACCAGUGGCGAAGGCGACUCUCUGGGCUGUAACUGACGCUGAGGCGCGAAAGCGUGGGGAGCAAAC